rnacentral:rRNA from 1 species
ACNGUACCAAGGGUGGNNUGCAUUGGGUUUGUUCGUUCAGUCUUCGUUGCCCGNUGAGGUGUCGGGUUAAUGUCCCAUAACCGAGCGCAACCCCCUACCGUUAGUUACCAUCAGGUCAUGCUGGGGACUCUAGCGGGACUGCCGGUGUAAACCGUGAGGAAGGUGGGGAUGACGUCAAAUCANCACGGCCCUUNCGUCCAGGGCUACACACGUGUUUCAAUGGCCGGUACNGAGGGCAGCUACCUANNAANANGAUGCGAAUCUCGAAAGCCGGUCCCAGUUCGGAUUGGAGUCUGCANCCCGACUCCAUGAAGUUGGAUUCGCUAGUAAUCGCGCAUCAGCCAUGGCGCGGUGAAUACGUUCCCGGGCCUUGUACACACCGCCCGUCAAGCCAUGGAAGCUUGGGGUACCUGAAGUCCGUAACCGCAAGGAGCGGCCUAGGGUANGGNNAANAACUGGGGCUAAGUCGUAACAAGGUAAAGGGCGAAUUCUCUCUGAUAUCCG